UGCAGAGGGGGCAAGCGUUGUUCGGAAUUACUGGGCGUAGAGGGCGCGUAGGCGGCCUGAUAAGUCGAACGUGAAAUCCCCGGGCUCAACCCGGGAACUGCGUCCGAUACUGGCAGGCUUGAAUCCGGGAGAGGGAUGCGGAAUUCCAGGUGUAGCGGUGAAAUGCGUAGAUAUCUGGAGGAACACCGGUGGCGAAGGCGGCAUCCUGGACCGGCAUUGACGCUGAGGCGCGAAAGCCAGGGGAGCAAACGGG
rnacentral:rRNA from 1 species